CACGUAGGGUGCAAGCGUUGUCCGGAAUUAUUGGGCGUAAAGGGCUCGUAGGCGGUCCGUCGCGUCGGGAGUGAAAACUCGGGGCUCAACCCCGAGCCUGCUUUCGAUACGGGCGGACUAGAGGUAGGUAGGGGAGAACGGAAUUCCUGGUGUAGCGGUGGAAUGCGCAGAUAUCAGGAGGAACACCAAUUGCGAAGGCAGCUCGCUGGGACGUAACUGACGCUGAGACGCGAAAGCGUGGGGAGCAAACAGG
rnacentral:rRNA from 1 species